rnacentral:rRNA from 1 species
UACGUAGGGUGCGAGCGUUGUCCGGAAUUAUUGGGCGUAAAGGGCUCGUAGGCGGCCAACUAAGUCAUACGUGAAAUCCCUCGGCUUAACCGGGGAACUGCGUCUGAUACUGGAUGGCUUGAGUUCGGGAGAGGGAUGCGGAAUUCCAGGUGUAGCGGUGAAAUGCGUAGAUAUCUGGAGGAACACCGGUGGUGAAGGCGGCAUCCUGGACCGAUACUGACGCUGAGGAGCGAAAGCCAGGGGAGCAAACGGG